ACGGCCACAAGACAUGCUCAUGUGCCUUGGCCAUUGUCGAAACUAACUUGGGUCACUUGGCCGACAAUAAUCUCGUGUGUCUAGCCCGUGUACCCUUCGAAAUGGCCACACACGCCCAGGUGCCAAGGCUGUGUGCCACACACGGCCACUAGACACACCCGUGUGUCUAGGCUGUGUCAAAAUGGUAGGUAUACUAGAUUUAAAUCGUA
rnacentral:lncRNA from 1 species